AAGCUGCUUUUCAUACUGGUUCCAGCUGCCCGAGUUAUGGGGGGAAGAUGGCAGAUGAAUCUAAGGUCCGCAUCUUUCUGUCUCUUCUGCAGGCUCUAGGUACGUGAGGGAAAGAGGUUUGUGGGUUCCAUCUGCAUCUGCCUGUUGAAGAGCCAGAAAGUUCACAUGUUGGCUCUUGAGAGGAGCUGGGGAAUGUCAUAAAGAACCUUCCUGGGAUAAGGAACUAGUGAGAAUGCCAGCCUUAUUUAAAGAAGCAUUCCAGAAUGGGACAAAUCUAAGGAGGUGCCUCUGACACUGGACUUUCAAAGUUAAACCCUCCACCCCCAGGUGUUUAACUCAAGAGGACAAUCUCAAGGUCAGAGGCAGCAAAAACAAAAGGCUCUGUCGGGUUGGCAACGCAAUGCUUUAUUUUUCAUUUUUCAGGUCAUUGCUUGGACUUAGGGAGGCCAUCCUUGGCUAUCUGAAGGCUGGGCUAUGUGUCCUUCCUACGCGUUCCCCUAGCACCCUGCGCCAUCCUUUCUGCCAGCACCUGGCACGCAGCCUGACCCAGGUGUGCGAGGCCACAGGGGCACUGAGUACAGAGGCCCCCACUACCAACCAGGUGCUCAGUAAGGACUCGCUGAGUGAGCACAGUGGGCAGCCCUUUUACAGCCUGGGUAGCCCAUUCUAGAAAAAAACCCUGCCACCUCCAAAUGUCUCCAGGUAACUUGUAUCCAGGAUGUGAUUCGUAAGGGUUGACUUGAGGAUUUAAUUUUUUUUCCUCCCGAAUUCUCAGGCAAACUCUGUGAAUGAGCAUGUACCUUUUCUUCAUGGAUUUAUGAAGACUGCCUUUUCCAAGCCCCUGGCAAGCCUUCAAGAGCGUGCUGAAGGCCGUUGGGGAUGGAGGCGGAAUGAUGGGGGAAACGGAGGACCGCUGUGGCUGGGUUGCUUUCGUCCGUGGGUACCCUGGAGCUUGGUGGGCAGUGAAUGGGUGCCUCUGGCUUGUGUUCCAGCAGCUCCCGUGGGAGGUGAGCUGUGACAAACACGGGAAGGAGGGUACGUCUGCGUCCCCCCUGGUAUCAUGUGGUCCAACGCCAUGCCCACCAAACACAAAAGCAAGCAGCCGUGGAAUCUUGACUGGGUUCGUGUGAUCUGUGGAGACGGUCAAACUGUGUGAUUAUAGUUCCCAAUUAGACUUUUGUUUUGGACCCAAGGAUAAUCUAGAUUUCCUGUUAUACACGAUGAGGAGUCCAUGCAGAUUUGUAGCAGGGGUUGAUAUGAUUUGAUUUAUAUUUAGAACAGAAGUAGUGAGCCAGUUAGGAUUCGGCCAGGAGACCAAAGGCUCAUAGCAAUUUGAACAGGGAAAAUUUAAUACCGCAUACAAAUUAUUAGCUAGUUAAAGGGUAUUACCUCCUAAGACGUGUAAAGAGAGCUAUCAAGAGUACAGGAAUAAGAUGUAGGGAGCAGUCAUUUCUUACAGGGCCAAGGGAGCAUGCAUGCUAGGAACAGACUUGGAGGAGGCAUCCCUCCCCACUGCCAAGGCUGGGAUUCGUCUAGUGUGGACCAGGGAAAGGCAGAGAAGUUCACGGAGGUGAUGCAGGCUGGGCUGGCGAGCAGAAGCCACCUGCGGGAGUGGGGACGGAACUCGUGGGAGGGUUUGCUUCGCAGACCUCCAGCGCAUCACUGGCGAAGGAGUAGCCCGUAGGGAAGGAAGCUACGUGCAAUGCUUGGUAGGAAGAAAAACUCUGGAACCAGGAAGGCAAGACUCUUGUCUUGCAGUCUCCCUCCAGCGCCCUCUACUGACAAGGCUGACACCGUGCCUCCUCGCAAAAGAGAAACCUUUACUUGGGUUCAGCUCCAGUAUCUCCAAGAAGGGCAGGGAAGGGUGUAUUUGGAGCUUAGAGACAAUAAAUCUGCAGGUGUACAGGUACUGAAGUAAAGGUGGACUUGAAGAGAGGAGAGUCUGGAGGCUGUAGUUAGGCGGGGUGGGGGAAAGGAAGAUGAAAUGGACAGACUGACGCUCUGCCCUUGAUCCUGAGACAGAGCUUGAGACAGUGUGGAUGGCAGGGAGGAAGAUUGGACUGGUACGGAGGGGGCUGAAUAGGUAGGACUCUGUGGCUGAUGAGAUGCAGUUCGUGACAGGGAAGGCUCGCGGGUGUGCCCAGUCUUGGUGGCCUUCAUAGCUGGAAAGAAGAACAGGCUUGGGCUUAGGGGAAGAGAAUAAAUUCUGUUUUGGACAUGACUGUUUAUGGCACCUCUAGAAUAUCUUGACAAGAUUCAGAAUACCCUGGGAAAAGCACAGCGGAUUGAAAUGUGUACUGGGGGUAUGGGUUUCGACUAUUGCUACACAACUCCCGCGCAAAGAGAAGGAAUCACAGAUUUCCACCUUAAGAAGAAUUCAAUAAAACUCUCUUUCAGAAAUCAACUUUCCUCAAACCCAGAGAAGUCUUACAAAAUUUCAGUUAGAGCUUGGAGCUCUUUUACUUUUUCUUCAAAACAUCCUGGAGCUUUAAUUUAGACUAAGGGUGAGAAUUAAAGUUGUGUGUGUGUGUGU